rnacentral:tRNA from 1 species
GCCCUCGUAGCUCAGGGGAUAGAGCGCCGGCCUCCGGAGCCGGGUGCGCAGGUUCGAAUCCUGCCGGGGGCACCG